rnacentral:rRNA from 1 species
UAAUACGUAGGUGGCAAGCGUUGUCCGGAAUUAUUGGGCGUAAAGCGCGCGCAGGUGGUUCUUUAAGUCUGAUGUGAAAGCCCACGGCUCAACCGUGGAGGGUCAUUGGAAACUGGGGAACUUGAGUGCAGAAGAGGAAAGUGGAAUUCCAAGUGUAGCGGUGAAAUGCGUAGAGAUUUGGAGGAACACCAGUGGCGAAGGCGACUUUCUGGUCUGUAACUGACACUGAGGCGCGAAAGCGUGGGGAGCAAACAGGAUUAGAUACCCUGGUAGUCCACGCCGUAAACGAUGAGUGCUAAGUGUUAGAGGGUUUCCGCCCUUUAGUGCUGCAGCUAACGCAUUAAGCACUCCGCCUGGGGAGUACGGCCGCAAGGCU